rnacentral:lncRNA from 1 species
CCUUCAUUCGUUACUGAGGGGAUUUUCGGAACAGAGGUUGUGGCAGUUUCAGCAUCAAAUACCUGACCUCCUCUGUCACAGGACAUCCACUGUUUAAGCACCACCACUACCUCAGGAAGUCCACUGUCUGUGUGUCAACUCCACUGUUACAGGACUUCAAGUUUCUCAGCAUCUCAACUAUCACAGGAUUUCUACUGUGCAGGAGCUCAAGUGUCUUACAACGUCCAAUGUUAUAGGACCAUCAAUGUCACAAGAACUCCUCUGUCCAAGGAACUGCACAGUCCAAACAACACUAUGAUUGCAGGACAUUCACUGUGGAAACACCUCCACUAUGGCAGGGCCUCCACUGUCCAUACAUCAACUCCACUGUCGCAGAUCCCCCAUUGCUGCAGACCUCCACUGUCACAGGACCUCCACUGUAGGAGCACUACAACUGUCGCAGGAUCUCCAGUGUCUUAUAACCUGCUCUAUCCCAGGACUUCCACUGUUGUAGCAUUACCAUGGUCACAGCAACUACACUGUUUCAGGACAUCAAGUGAAGCUGGACCUCCAAUGAUGCUCCAACUUCUCUGUCACAGGAUCUCUACAGUUACAGGAAUACUCCUGUAUCAGCAAUUCCAAUUGCUGGACCUCAGUUGUCACAUGACCUCCACUGUAGCCGAACCUUCAAUUUUGCAGCACCUCCACUAGAGGUAGAAUGACCUCCCCUAUCACAGUGCCUCCACUUUCAAAGGACCUUCACUGUCACAGAACCUGCACAAUUUCAGUGCCUCCGCUGUUGCAGGACCUACCUUUUCACAGGAUCUGCACUGUUGCAACAACUCUAAUUGCACGUUUACAAAGGCAUUACUGGUUAUUAGAUUUGAGGCUGAAUGGAAUGUGAUGUUACUUUCGUAAACAUAAGAAUGUGUUCUGUGCGUCUUGUGAUUAAUGGCCACUUGUGCUAGGACCAGUAACUUAUGGAAAGAUUCCUUGAGGUCAUAGCACUCUCCACCUCACCUUGUGGAAACUGGUGUUUUUAGAGUGUGAUAAACUUCAGGUGAAGGGAUGCAGUCAGCAAGACCACGCUCUAGAGUGGGAUACACAGCAGUCAUAUUGAGUCCUUGCUGGGAAGAAAAGAAAUCCAGAAGAGGGAGGAGGCUUGGGUUAGAGGAAGAAUCAUAAAAUAUUUAGAGAAUAUAAGAAGGUAAGAAUUAUGGGGAACUGGAAAACAGAGCCAGAGGAAGAAUGAGCACAGAGCAAACUGGGAUGGACAAAGCACAAAUGUACCUGGGUUGUGCCUUCUGCAUGUUCUCUGGACGAUCGCCUUGUGCCUCAUUUCUGGGAGAACACUCUCUUCUCCCCAUAUAAAGUUUCUUUCUUGAAAGAAAGCAGCAACACAACUUCAUCAGUGAAUUUCCCCAUUGAAAUUUGUUCGUUCUUUCAAAGCCUCUGGGAAGGCCCUAGCUGGGGAAAGUCCUCUCAGCUGAGAAACAGCAGGAAAGUAGGUUGUCCUCUGUGUUCUCAUUGCGACUGCUCUUCUAAGUGUGGUUGAUUGUUGAUUGAAGACACAGGGCACUUCUAGCAUGUAUGUAUGCUUUAUUCAGUGUGGGUGGCAUUGGGAGUAUCCUGAAAAGAAGGGUAGGCGCCUCUGCCUCUUUGACUAGGUGAUGAUCAAAGUCAGACACUCGACCAUUGGAAGAUGAGACCAAUGUGUCUACGGUGUACUCACUUCUAUUCCUCUUUAGUCCUAGAGGGAAAUAAGUGCCAUCAGCAAGGGUGGGGAAUGGGGCCCUAACUGGACAAACUUGCUGAGCCUGGGUUAUGCAGCCAUGCCGGUGAAUAGCUUCCCCUUACAUUAAGUAGUAAGAUGCCAUGCUCUGGUUGUACCUUCCCUGAUACAGUGAAUCUAUAAUCUCUUGGCCUCAAAACCCAAUAUAUUACAUUGCUUUCACAAGUGGAGUAUCUGGCAUGAGAGGGAUCAUUUCCUCAUAGGGAUUUGGGAACCACUUACAGUCUUCAUUGAGCAUGGGUGUGUCAUCACCUAUGUGACUGUUAGCCCAUAUCUGUGAUUCACUGUCAUUAGGAGGCUAAGCUGCCUCUUCUGACAUCCCACAGUGGGCUGGAUACAUACCACUCACAACCUGUCUCCUCAGCACUUGUAUGACAAAAUGUAACCCUACUCCUAAGUCCAUAUGUUGGGGGGGUUGUUUUUUUUGUUUUGUUUUGUUUUGUUUUGUUUUUGGAACAUCCUAACGUUUUCCUAGGAAGAGAUCAGGUGCACCAUUAGGAUAAGCACCAUGCUGCCAGUUCAGCAUUUGCCCAAGUUUGACUUGCCUUGAAGGCCAAAGUUGAUGAUUUUGACUUUUCCAUUCUUCUCUAACAGAAUAUAAUCUGGUUUCAGGUCACUGUGUACUUUUACAGUGUCCAUAGCCGUAGAUUAAGUCUGCUAAAAUUUACCCAAAUAUUUCCUUGACCCUGUACUCCUCUAAGGGGAAAGACUUUCAAAUGUAUUUGUAAAGCUGUAAAAUUUCAACCAGUUUCAUGAUAAGUUAUUAGACUUGUCUCAGACUCAAUUGGAGAAGCAAGAUGAUGUUGGGGUUGAUGAAAAUCUUCAUUAUAUUUGCCAUGGUCAUGUUUGGCUGGCACCAUUGCUUCUUCUUUGCAUGCACUUUGAUAACCCCUGUAGCAGAACUUCCACUGUCCCAGCACCUGCACUAUCCCAAGAUCUCCACUCUCACCGGACCAAUAUUGCAGUAGGACGUCUGCGGUCAGGCAACUCCACUGUCUCAGACCCUCCAAAUUGCAAGACCUUUACGGGCACUGGAAGUUACUGUCCCUAAACUUCCACUGUUGGAAUACCUCAGCUAUAACAAGGACCCCUACCAUUGCAGAACCCCCUUGUCAUAGCACCUCUACAAUUACAAAGAAGUCCACUGUCAAAGGACCUCCGGUGUCUCAGCCCCUCCACUGUUGCAGGAUCUCUACUGUCUCAGGAUCACUACUGUUGCAGGACCUCCCCUCUCUCAGCAACUCCAAUUUGCAGGAGCUCUCCUAUCAGAGGAUAUCUACAUUUGCUGUACUUCCGGUGUCACAGCACCUCAACUGUUAAAAGAAUUUCCAUACUCACAGGACCGCCUAUGUCUCAGUAACUCCACUGUCCUAGGACCUUUAUGUUAUAGGACCUCUGCUGACACAAGAUGUCCACUGUUGCUAGACUUCCACUGUCAUAACCACUCAACCAUUACAAGGACCGCAAUUUUGGCAUGACCGCCACUGUCCCAUCCCCUCCAGUGUCAUAGGACCUCCACUCUCACAGGAUAAUCCACUGUCUCAGCAAGGCCAAUUUGCAGGACCUCUACUAGGACAGGAUAUCCACUGUAGCUGGACGUACACUGUUGCAGUACCUCAACUGUUGCAGGACCUCCAAUGUUGCAGGACAUGGACCCUCUCAGCUUCUAGAAUUUGCAGGACCUUUACUGGCACAGAAAUUCCACUGUUGCUGGAGCUCCACUGUCAUUUAAAAUGCGUUGUCUCAUGAUAUUCACUGUUGCUGGACCAAUAGUGUAGCAGCACCUCCAUUUUUUCAAAACCCCUCCACUGAUACAGGAUCUCCACUUUUGUAGCAGCUUCACUGUCCAAGCAAACCAACUAUUUCAGGAUCUCCAGUGUCUUAGGGCAUUCACUAAUGCCAGUCCUCCAACGUUGUAGGAUAUUAUCCACUUUCUCAACAGCUACACUUUGGCAGGACCUCUAUUGGCAGAGAAAGUCCACUGUUGCUGGACCUCCACUGUCAGUGCAAAUGCACUCAUUCAGGACCUCUACUUUUCUAAGGACCUCCAAUAUUGCAGGGCCUCAAAUGUCCCAGGACCUCAAGUGAUGCAGCACCUCCUUUUUCCUAUCACCUUUACUGUCCCAGAACCUCCACUUUCCCAGGAACUGUUCUGUUGCAGGGCCUCCAAAGUUAGAAGAACUGCACUGUAUCAAGACCUCAACUGUUGCAGGACCUCCAUCAUUAUAGGAACACAAUAGUUACACUGUCCAUCACCUUCACUCUCUUAGCACCUCCACUCUCACAGGACCUACACUGUUGCAGGAACUCCAAUGUCUAUGCAACUGCACUGUCUCAGGACCUCAGUGAUCCAGAACCUCCAAUGAUGCAGGACCUCCACUGUCGUGGACCUCCACUGUUUCAGGACAUCCACUCUAUCACCACCUAGACUUUUGCAGGACCUCUACUGGCCCAGGAUCUCCAUUGUUGCUGGUCUUACAUUGUCUAAAGACCUCUACUAUCGCAGAAAUGCCACUGUUGUAGAACCUUCACUGUCACAGGGCCUCCACUGUCCAAGAACUCCACUGUUGCAGGGCAUCCACUCUUGCAGCAUGUGCCUUGUCUCAGGACCUCCACUACAUCAGUCAAAUCUCCACUGUAUCAUGACUUCCACUCGUGCAGGUCUUCCAAUGUUGCAUGACCUCCAAUGUGAAAGUAACUCCACUAUCUCAGUGCCUCCACUGUUACAGGACCUACACUGUCAGAGGAUCUGCACUACGGCACCAGCUCCACUGUCACAUUUUUGAAAGCAUUGCUUGUUGUUAGUGUUGAGGCUUCAUGGAGUGUGAUGCUACGUCUGAAAAGUUAAGAAUUUCUUCUUCAGCUCUUAUGAUUAAUGUCCAGAUGUGCUAGAUCAGUAGCGCCUGGAAGACUCAAUGAGCCGAUAGCCUUCGAAGCCUCACUUUGUGGUGUUCUGUUGUCUUUUGGGAAUGCUAAAGUCCAGGUGAAGGCAUGCGGUCAGAAGGAUAACUCUAGUGUGGGGUACACAUGAGUUGUGUUGAGUUCCUGCUAGGAAGGGUAGAAAUCCAGAACUGAAAGAAGGCUUAUGGUGGAGCAAGAAUCAUACAAUGCUUAGAAUAGGUAAAACAGAAACAAUUUUGCAGAAAUGGAAACCAGAGACACAGGAGGAACCAGCACAGAUCAAACUGCGUAGGACCAAUCACAAAGGUACCUGCGCUGAGCCUGCCUGCUGCUUGUUCUUUGGAUGUACUCUAGCCUUUAUUUCUCAGGAGAGACACUGUGCUGUCCAAGGAGAGUUUUCUUGCUUGAUUGAGCACAGGAAUACUGCUUGAUUUGGAUAUUCCUAAUUUCUUGGUCCACCCUGUAAAGCAUCUGAGCAUGCUCCUGCUUGGGACAGUCUUGCCCUCUCCUGAAGCCCAGAGGGAUAAUAGGUUGUCUUCUGUGGUUUCAUUGCUGCUUUCGUUCUCCCUGAGGCUGCUUGUUGACUGAAGGCAGAAGACACCCUGGCAUGUAUGUUUUGUCCAGUGUGGUGUCACCUGGAAUGGCCUGAAGAAAAGGCCAGUCCCAGUGGUUCUUCUGAAUCUUCUAUGACUAGAGUUAUGGACAUAGGCAUAAACGAGGCCAUGGGGAAUGACAAGUUCAAUGUGCCAAUGGUGGGUUGGUUUCCACUCCUCUGAAGUCCUAGAUGGAAAGCAGCAUAAUCUUUAAGGGUAGGGAAUGGAGCCCUAACUGGACUCAGUGAGGGAGCCUGGUUGUGAAGCCAGGCACCUGGAUAGCCUGCCCUUUCAGUAAUCCAUUGAACACCAUUGUCCGUUAAUAGUUUUUUUAUUUAAAGAAUCUUUAUUUCUUGGGCUUAGAACUGAAUAUAUUGCAUUACUUCCACAGUUGUAGGGUGUGGCCUGAGAUACCAUUUCCUCAUAGGGAUUUGGGAAACCCUCCCAUUCUUUGAAGCGAGGUUGCAUUAUGAGGUUUGUGACUGUCAGCCUAUAUCUGGGGUUUACUGUGAUUAAGAGAUAAUGAUGAUGGUUGACCAUCAUAAACGUUGACAAAGAGGAGUUCAGGGGCAACAGAAGUGUAAGCACCACAGUGGUGCUUCAGAAUUUGCCCUGGUUCAACUCGGGUACUAAGGCGAAAUUCGAUGAUUUUGUUUUUUUCCAUUAAUAACCAAGAUAAAUGCUAUUUGGUUUCAGGUCCCUGUGAAAUAUUGUGUGCCCAGGGCAGUAGUUCAUCACUGCUAAUAUUUGCAAUAUAUUUUACUGACUUGUCCUGCUUUAGGUAGCCAUACUUUUGGAUGUAUUUGUAAAACUGUUGAGCUUCAACAAGCUCCAAGACAAGAUAUAAUAUUGUUUUGGUCUCAAUUAUUUGAAGAAACCACGUGAUGUUGGGGUUGUCACCCAUCAUCAUCACUGCCAUGGUCAUUACUGGCUGGCAUUAUUAUUUCUCCAUUACAAGGACUUUGACAGCCACUGUCACAGGACCUAAUCUGUGGUAGAACCUCCACUCUCAGGGCAACUCCACUUUCUCAGGACCUCUAAAUUGCAGGACCUCCCCUGGCAUAGAAUGUACAUUUUUGCAGGACUUUCACUCUUGUAGCAACUCAACUCUUAAAAGACAUCCACUUUAGCAAGAUUUCCAGUGUCUUAGCACUGCCCUUCUUGAAGGACCUCCACUAUUGUAGGACCUCCACUGUUGCAGCACAUCCAUUCUCUCAGCAUCUAGAAUUUUGCAGAAUGUCAACUGGCAUAGAAAGUCCACAGUUGCUGGUUCUUCAAUUUCAUGAUAAAUCCACCGUAUCAGGACCUUCACUGUUGCAGGACCUCCAGUGUUGAAUCACAUACACUGUUUCAGGGCCACCACUGUCACAGGACCUUCUCUGUCACAGGAUCGCCACUCUCUCAGCACUUAUGCAAUCACAGGACCUCCAUUGCUUUGGACCUCCACUCUCGGAGAACCUCCACUGGUCAAGCACAUCCACUGUCUCAGAAACUCCAGUGUCUCGGGACAUUCACUGUUGCAGGAUCUCCCAUGUCUUAGCACACUUAUUUUUGCAGGACCUCCACUCUCGCAGACUCAUCUCUACUGUCUCAGGACCUACACUAUAACUGUUGGACCUCUAAUGUCACAGGACCUCAAAUGACACUGGAUUUCCACUGUCCAAUCACAUUAACUGUCCCAACUCCUUCACUGUCGCAGGACCUACACUGUUGCAGGACCUCCAAUAUCGGACCAAUUUCCUGUCUCAGGGACCUCCAAUGUUGCAUGACCUCCACUGUUAAAAGAUAUCCACAGUUGCAGGAUAGCUAGUAGAGUUUUGCAGGACCUAUAUUGGCCCAGGACCUCCAUUGCUGAUGAUCCUCCACUGUCUCAGAACCUUAACUAACACAGAACCUCCACUGUUGAAGCACCUCCACUGUCCUAGGAUGUCCACUAUUGCAGACAACGUCAGUCUUAAGUACCUCCAUUUUUGAAGGACCUCCAUGGGUGCAGGACCUCCACUCUUAGAGUGCCUCCAUUCUUGUAGCACCUCCACUGUUCCAACCUCAUCUCCACUGUCUCGGGACCUACAUUAUUGCAGGAUCUCAAAUGUUGCUGGACUUCUACUGUUGCAGUACCUCCAGUGUUGCAGGACCUACACCGUAGCAGGAUCUGCACUGUUGCACCAAUUCUACUUUCACAUUUUGUUGACAUUGCUGGUUAUUAGAUUUGAGUCUUAAUGGAAUGGGAUAUUACUUUUGAAAACACAGGAAUUUUUUUCUGCAUCACAUGUGAUUGAUGACCACAUAUUCUAGGACUGAUAUCCCCUGGAAGAUUCCAUGAGCCCUUAGUCCACCAGUCUUCACCUGGUCGGAGGUGUUGUGUUUUGGGAGAAGUUGAAUCCAGGUUAAGGGAUGGGAUCAGCAGGACACAGUUCUGUAGAGUGGGCUACAUAUCAGUCAUAGUGAGUCCCCUCUGGGAUGAGUAGAAAUCCAGAACUGAGAAAAUGCUAUUACAGGACCUCCAUUGUCUAAACACCUCCACUAUUGCAGAACCUCCACUGUCCAUACAUCAACCAGCUCCACUGUCCCAGAGCCUGAGAUGUUGAAGAAUCUCCACUGUCACAGGACCUCCAUUGCUGCAGGACCUCCACUGUCACAGGACCUCCAAUGACUCAGCAACUACACUUUUGUAGGACCAGCAUUGGCACAGGAUAAGCACUGUUGGUAGGCCCUCCACUAGCCUAUAACCUCCACUGUCCCAGAAUUUCCACUGUUGUAGCACUACCAGGGUCAAAGCAACUACAGUGUUUCAGGACAUCAACUGAAGCAGGACCUCUAAUGAUGCUGCAGCUUCACUGUCACAGGAUCUCUACAUUUACAGGAAUAUUCCUGGAUCAGCAAUUACAAUUUUGCAGGACCUCAGUUGUCACAGGACCUCCACUGUAGCCAAACCUUCAAUGGUGCAGCAUCUCCACUGUAGGUAGAAUGACCUCCCCUAUCGCAGUGCCUCCACUUUCAAAGGACCUUCACUGUCACAGAACCUGCACUAUUUCAGUGCCUCCACUGUUACAGGACCUACCUCUUCACAGGAUCUGCACUGUUGCAGCAACUCUAAUUACACUUUUUCAAAGGCAUUACCAGUUAUUAGAUUUGAGGAUGAAUGGAAUGUAAUGUUACUUUUGAAAACAUAAGAAUUUGUCCUGUAUCACUUGUGAUUAAUGGCCACAUGUGCUAGGACCAGUAACCUAUGGAAGAUUCCCUGAUCUGAUAGCUCUGUAGCCCUCAUCUUGUUGAAGAUGUUGUCCUUAGAGGGUCAUACAGUUCAGGUGAAGGGAUUGGAUCAGCAAGACAACUCUGUGGAGUGGAGUACAAUUAAGUCGUAUUGAGUCCCAGCUGGGAAAAGGAGAAAUCCACAAGAGGGAGAAGGCUUGUGGUGGAGGAAGAACCGUAAAGUACUUAGAGAGUAUAAGGAGGUAAGAAUUGUGAGGAAAUGGAAAACAGAGCCAGAGGAAGAAUGACCACAGAGCAAAGUGGGAAGGGUAAAGCACAAAGGUACCUGGGUUGUGCCUUCUGCUUGUUCUCGGUAUGCUCUCCCUGUGCCUCAUUUAUGAGAGAACACAGUUCUGCCUUAUGUAAGGUUUCUUUCUUGAUGGAAAGGAGCAACACAACUUCAGGGAUUUUCUCAUCUUCUUGGUCCAUCCUUUAAGUCCUCUGGGAAGGCCCCAGCUGGGGAAAGGCCUGCUCUCAGCUGACAAACACCUGGAGAAUAGGUUGUCCUUUAUGUUGUAAUUGGUGCUGCUCUUGUAAGUGUGCCUGCUUGCUGAGUAAAUGCAGGGCAAACCUCUGUCAUGCAUGUAUGCUUUGUCCAGUGUGGCUGUCAUCGGAAGUGUCCUGGAGAGAAGGGCAGUCCAGUGACUCUUCUGCUUCCUUUUGACUAGCCUCAUUAUUAUAGGCAGACAUUAGACCCUUGGAAGAUGAGGAGACCAAUGUGUCUAUGGUGUUCUCACUUCUACUUCUCUUUAGUCCUAAAGGGAAAUCAGUGCCAUCACCAGGGGUAGGGAAUGUUUGCCAUAACUGGACAAACUUGCUGACCUUGGGAUCUGCAGCAAUGCCCAUAGAGAGCCUGCCCUUACAGUAUGCAAUGGGAUGCCACGGUCUGGUAAUAUUUUCUUUGAUGUAUCUAUAAUAUCUUAGGCUCAAAACCCAAAAUAUCCAAUUGCUUCCACAUUAGCAGUGUCUGGCAUGAGGGGGAUCAGUUCCUCCAAGGAUUUGGGAACCAAUUCCAGUCUUCAUUGACCAGGGGUACAUCACUACUUCUAUGACUAUCAGCCCAUAUCUGGGGUUGACUGCCAUUAAGAUGCUACACAGAUCUCCAGCUCUUCGGACACCCAACAGUGGGCAGGAUACGCACCGGCCACAACAUAUCUUCUCACCUUUUUAUAACAACUGAGUCAAAUCCUACAACAGUGAAUUAUAAGCCUACUCCUUAACUCAAAUAUUGUUCUUUGGACCAUUACAACAUUUGCCUAGGCUGUAAUAACAGGCAUCAAAAUUGUGAACACCGUAGUGCCAGCUCAUCAUUUGCUCAGGUUCAACUUUGGUAGGAAAGGCCAAAGUUGAUGAUUUUGACUUUUCCGUUCUUGUGUAACAAAAUAUCACUCGAUUUCAAGUCUCCGUGAACUACACUGUGCCCAUCCCAGUAUAUCGAGUCUGCUAAUAUUUGCCUAAAUAUUUCCCUGACCUUGUCUUCCUCGAGGUGGCAAGACUUCAGAUGAAUUUGUAAAGCUAUAGAAUUUCAACUAGCUCCAUGAGAAGGUAUAGAUGUGUCUCAGACUCAAUUACUUGGUGAAGCAAUAUGAUAUUGGGUGGAUGUAUAUCUUCAUUAUAUUGGCCAUGCUCUUGUCUGACUGUCACCCUUGCUGCUUCUUUGCAUGCACUUUGAUAACCACAGUAGCAGGACUUUCACUGUCCCAGUCACUGCACUAUCCUAAGACCUCCCUUGUCACAGGACCUCCACUGUGGUAGUACCGCAGCUGUCAGGAAACUCCACAGUCUCAUUACCUCCAAACUGCAAGAUCUCUACUGGCACAGGAAUUGUACUGCCCCUGGACUUCCACUGUCACAGCACUUCAACUGUUACAAGGACCUCUACUGUUGUAAGACCUCCUAUAUCACAGCACCUCCACGGUGACAAGGACCUGCAUUGUCAAAAGACCUCCAGUGUCUCAGUCCCUCCACUGAUUCAGGACUUUCAAAUUGCAGGAACUCUACUAGCACAGGUCAUCCACAGUUGCAGUUCCUCAACUGUUAUAAGGACCUCCAUUGUUGCAGAACCUUCAGUGUCCCUGCACCUUCACAGUCUCAGCAACGCCAACUUGCAGGACCUCUACUAGCACAGGAUGUCCACAGUAGGUAUACUUACACUGUUGCAUUACCUCAAUUGUUGCAGGACCUCCGAUGUGGUAGGACAUCCACAUUUUCAGCAGCUAGACUUUUGCAGGACCUCUACUGGCCCAAAAAAAUUCCUCUGUUCUGGACCUCCACUGACAGUGCAAAUGCACUGUCUCAGGACCUCCACUGUUGCAAGACCUCUGAUGUUGAAGGAUGUCCAUUGUUUUAGGACAUUCCCUGUCAAAGAACCUCAACUGACACACAACCUCUGCUUUUGUAGGAUUUUCACUGUCCUAGAAAACCAAGUAUUGCAGGAAUUAUCAACUUGGAGCAACUGCAUUGUAUUAGGACAUUUACUCUUGCAGGACCUGCAGUGUGGUUGCACCUCCAUUUUAGCCAGGUCUCAACUGUACCAGGCUCAUCUCUGCUGAAUCAGCUCCUCCAACACUGCAGAACAUCCAAUAUUUCAGGUCCUCAAACAUCCCAGGACCCCAAUUGAUGGAGGACUUCCAACGUUGCAGGACCACAAUAGUCACAGGUCCUCCACUGUCCCAUCACUUUUAUUUCUCCCAGCACCUCCACUGUCACAUGGCCUACAAUGUUGCCUAACCUCCAAUGCCUGAGCAACUACACUGUCUCAGGACCUCGAUUGUUCCAGAACCUCCAAUGGUGCAGGACCUCCACUGUCACCAGAUCUCCACUGUCUCAGAGCAUCCACUCUAACACCGACUAGACUUUUGUAGAACCUCUCCUGGCAUAGCAUCUCCAUUGUUGCCGGCCUUACAUUGUCUCCAAACCUCCACUAUCACAGGAAUGCCACUGUUGUAGAACCUCCACCAUCACAGACCUCCACUGUUGGAGGACCUCCCCUGUCUAAACACAUCCACUAUUGCAGGACCUCCACUGUCCAAGGAAUUCCGCUGUUCCAGGACAUCCACUCUUGCAGCACCUGCAUUGUCUCUGGACUUCCACUGUACCAGUCCCAUCUCCAAUGUCUCAGGACCUCCACUCUUACAGGACCUCCAAUGUUCACAACCUCAAAUACAAAACUACACUAUCCCAGUGCCUCCACAGUUGCAGGCCCCAAACUGUCUCAGGAUCUGCACUGUUUCAUUAAUUCCCCUGUCCCUUUUUUGAAAGCAUUGCUGGUUAUUAGUUUUGAGGCUUAAUGGAAUGUGAUGGUAUUUUUGAAAAAAUAACAAUUUUUCCUGCACAUCUUGUGAUUAAUUACCAGAUGUGCUAGCAUCAGUUGCCCCUAGAGGGUUGCACGAGCCCACAGCCCUGUAGACCUCACCUUGUGGCAGCUGUUUUGUUUCGGGGUGUUACAGUCCAGAAGGCAUGCGGUCAGCAGGACAACUCUGUAGUCCGGGGUACACAUCAGUCACAUUGAGUCCUUGCUGGGAAAAGGAGAAAUCCAGAAGAGGGAGAAGGCGUGGGGAGGAGGAAGAAACAGACAGUACUUACAGAAGUUAAAUGGAAACUAUUUGCAGAAAUGGAAACCAGAGACACAGGAGGAAUCAGCACAGAGCAAACUGGGCAGGACAAGGCACAAAGGUACCUGGGCUGUGCCUGCCUGCUGCUUGUUCUUUGGAUGCUGUGUCUAUCCCUCAUUUCUCAGGACAGACACUGUCCUGUCCCAGGGGAGUUUUCUUGCAUGAUCGAACAAAAGAACACUGCUUCAUUUGGAUAUUCCUAAUUUCUUAGACCAUCUCUUAAAUCCUCUGGGCCAGGCCAUGCUGGGGACAGACUUGCCUACUCCAGAGGCACAGAGGGAUAAAAGCAAAGGGUGAUCCUCAUAGUGUUGGUUCUGUAUUUGCCCUAUAUCAACUUGGUUCAUAAGGCCAAAGACCAUGACUUUGACUUUUCCUUUCUUUUCCAAGAAAAUAUCAUGUAUUGUCUUCUGUGUUCUCAUUGCUGCUUCUGUUCUACCUGAGAUUGUUUGUUGACUGAAGGCAGCAGACACUCUAGCAUGUAUGCUUUUUCUAGCGUGGGUGUCAUCUGGAAUGCCUGGAGGAGAAGGCCAGUCUCAGUGGUUCUUAAUCCUCUAUGACUAGCAUUAUGGACAUAGGCAGAAACGAGGCCAGGGGGGAUGACAAGUCCAAUGUGCCAAUGGUGGGUUGAUUUCCACUCUAAAGUCCUAGUGGGAAAGCAGCAUAAUCAUAAGGGUAGGGAAUGGAGCCAGUCUGAGACUGGUUGUGAAGCCAGGCACUUGGAUAGCCUGCCCUUCCAGUAAGCAAUUGGAGGCCAUGGUCUGGUUAUACUAUCUUUGAUAUAAAGAUUCUUUAUAUCUUAGGCUUACAACUGAAUAUAUUUUAUUACUUUCCUCCCAUUCUUUGAAGCAGGAUUGCGUUAUUACAUCUGUGAUUGUCAGCUUACAUCUGGAGUUUACUGUUAGUAAUAGAAAAUUAUGAUGGUUGACCAUAAACAUUGACAAAGAAGAGUUCAAGGGCACCAAAAUUGUGAGCACCAUAGUGCCGGUUUAGCAUUUGCCCUGUUCAAUUGGGGUACUAUGGAUAAAGUUGCUGAUUGUGGCUUUUCCAUUGAAAUCCACCAUUAUAUUAUAUGGCUUCAGGUAGCUGUGAAACAUUGUGUGCCUAUGGCAGUAGAUCAUCACUGCUGUUCUUUGCAAAAUAUUUUCCUGACCUUGUCCUGUUCUAGGUAGCCAUACUUUUGGAUGAAUUUGGAAAGCUGUUGACCUUCAACAAGCUCCAUGAUGAGACAUAAUUUUGUUUUGCUCACAAUGACUUGAAGAAGUGAGAUCAUGUUGAGGUGGUCACCCAUCAUCAUCAAUGCCAUGGUCAUUACUGGCUGGCAUCAUUGCUUCUACAUUAGCAGGACUUUGAUGUCCACUAUGCAGCAACUCCACUGUGAUAGAUACUCUGCUGUCUAGGCAACUCCACUUUCUAAGGACUCCAAAUUUGAGGACAUCUACUAGCACAGGAUGUACACAUUUGCUGGACUUUCACUGUUGCAGCAACUCAACUCUUAAGGGAUGCCCACUGUUGCAGGUUUUCCAGUGUCUCAGCCCCGCCACUCUUGAAGGACCUUCACUAUUGUAGGACCUCCACUGUUGAAGCACAUCGAUUAUCUCACCAACUAGAAUUUAUAGGAUGUCAACUGGCACAGAAAGUCCACUGUUGCAUGACCACCAUUCUCACUGAAAAUCUACUGUCUCAGGACCUCUACCUUUGUAGGACCUCCAGUGUAGAAGGAUGUCCACUGUUGCAUGUCCACCGCUGUCACAGGACCUCCUCUGUCACAGGACUUCCACUCUUCCAGGCUCAUCUCCACUGUCUCAGGACUUCUACUAUAUCUCUAGGACCUCCAAUGACGCAGGACCUCAACUGACACUGGGCCUUCACUCUCCAAUCACCUUAACUAUCAAAGAACCUCCACUGUCUCAGGACCUUCACUGUUUCAGGACCUCCAAUGUUGGAGCAACUGUACUGCCUCAGGGGCAGGACCUCCAUUGUCACAGGGCCUCCCCUGUCACAGGAUAUCAACUCUUUUAGACUUUUACAGGAUUUCUGCUGGCACAUGACCUCCAUUGUUGAGGGUUCUCCACAGUUUCAUUACUUUUACAUUGAAAGGAAUACCAUUCUUGCAGAACCUCCACUGUCCCAGGACCUCCAGUAUUACGGACUUCCUCAGUCCAAGUAGCUCCAUUAUUGAAGGACAUUUCUGGUUGCAGGACAUCCACUUAUACAGUGCCUCCAUUGUUAUAGGACACCCACUGUUCCAGCCUAAUCUCCACUCUCUCAUUAUCUCCAAUAUUUUAUGAUUGCCAAUAAUGGUGGACUUCCAUUGUUACAGUAAUUCCACUAUCUCUGUGCCUACAUUGUUCCAGGACCUACACUGACUCAUGAUAGGCACAGCUGCAUCAAGUUCACUUUCAAUUUUUAUUGACAUUGCUAGCUAUUAUAUUUGACCCUUACUGGAAUGUGAUGUUACUAUGUGAUGUUACUUUUGAAAGCCCAAGAAUUUGUUUUUUUUUAGCACAUGUGACUGAUUUCCACAUGUUCUAGGACUGUUGUCCCCUGGAAGAUCACAAGAGCUCAUAUCCCUCUAUUCCUCACCUUGUGGGAGCUGUUGCCUUUCAGAGGGUAAUGCAAUUCAGGUGAAAGGAUAGGAUCAGCAAGUGAUAACUUUGUAGAGUGGGGUAUACAUCAGUCACAUUGAGUUCCUGAUGGGAAGAGGAGAAAUCCAGAACAGGAAUAACCCUUGGCAUAGAGGAAGAAUCAAACAGUACUUACAGAAGGUAAGAAGGUACCAAUUUUAAGGAAAUGGAAAUGAUAGAGGAAGAACCAGCACAGAGCCAACUGAGUAGGACAAAGCACCAAGGUACCUGGGCUGUACCUGGUCCUUGUUCUCUGCAUGCUAUCCUUAUUCCUUCUUUUUUGGGAGAAUCUCUGUCCUGCCUCUUGUGAAGUUUCUUUCUUGAUGUAAAGCCAUGACAAAGGUUCAUCAGGGAAGUUCCCCCAUUUCUUCCUCCAUCUCUUAAAGCCUCUGCUCCGACACCAGCUGGUGAAUAUCUUGCACUCUUCUGAAGCACAGACAGAGAAUAUGUUGUUUUUUCUGUUCUCAUUGAUGCUACUCUUCUCCCUGAAGCUGCUCAUUCAGUAAAUGUGGGAGACAGUGUCUUUUGUCCAGUGUUGGUGUCAUCUGGAGUGGCCUGAAGAGAAGGCCAGUCCCACUGGGUCUUCUGCCUACUCUAUAACAAGCAUUUUGGAUAAAAACAGAAAUUAGACCAUUGGAAGAUGACGAAACUAAUGUGCUGAUGGUGGGCUGGCUUCUGCUCUUCUUUAUUCCUAGAGGGAAAGCAGCAUCAGCAUCAAUGUUAGGGAAUGGUGCCAUAACUGUUCUCACUAGGUGACACUGUGUUGUGCAGCCAUGUCCCUUGAGAGCCUGCCCUUGCAGUAAGCAAUAGGAUGCCAUGGUCUUGAUAUACUUUUUUUGGUACCUGUAGUAUCUAGGGCUUGGAACCAAAUAUAUUGUAUUGCUUCCACAAUUGCAAGUUCUGUCCUGAGUGUGAUCAGUUGCUCAGAGGGACUUGGGAAUGCUUUUCUGUCUCUCUUGAACUAGAUUUGCAUGAUGGCGUCCAUGACUGUCAGCCUGUAUCUGGGGUUUACUCUCAUUAAGAACUUAUGCAGGUCAUCCAGCUCUUCUCAUCUCCCACAGGGGGCAGGAUUCACACAGGCUACAACCUGACUUCUCAGCCCUUGUUUGACUAGUCAAAUGAAACCUCUGACUACCAUGAAAUGUAAGACUACUCAUGUCUUCCCUGUGUCAUUCUUUGGACUAUCAUAAAAUUUGCCUAGAUAGAGCUCCAUGGCAGCAAAAGGUAAUCAUCAUAGUGCCGGUUCUCUAUUUGCCCUAUAUCAACUUGGUUCAUAAGGCCAAAGACCAUGACUUUGACUUUUCCUUUCUUGUCCAAGAAAAUAUCAUGUGUUUUGAGGUUUCUUUGAACUAUUAUGUGACUAUGGCAGUAGUUCAUGCCUGAUAGUAUUUACCUAAAUGUUUCCCUGGUUUUGUUCUCCACCAACUGGCCAGCUGUUCAGAUGUGUCUGUAAAACUGGUGACCUUCAAGUAGCGUCAUGACAAGGUAUUGUCUUGUUUCAGACUCAAUUACUUGGAGUAGUGAAAUGAUGUUGGAAUGGUCAAAAAUCAUCAGUACAUGUGCCAUCUUCAUUACUGGCUGUCACCCUUGCUUCUUCUUUACCAGCACUUUGACAGCCACUGUAGCAGGACAUCCACUGUUCCAGUAUGGUAAUGACCCAGCACCUCCACUAUCACCGUUCUUCCACUCUUGCAGGACCUCCACUCUUGCAGGACCUCCACUCUUGCAGCACCUGCAUUUAGUCAGGACCUCCACUGUACCAGUCCCAUCUCCACUUUCCCAGGACCUCUACUCAUGCUGGUCCUCCAAUGUUGCCUGACCUCCAAUGUAAAAGUACCUGCACUAUCUCAUUGCCUCCAGUAUUGCAGGACCUACAUUGUCACAGGAUCCACACUGUUCACUAACUCCACUGUCACUGUUUUGAAGGAAUUGUUGGUUAUUACUUUUGAGGCUUAAUGGGAUGUGAUGUUACUUCUGACAACUUAAGAAUUUGUUCUUCAGCUCUUGUGAUUAAUUGCCAGAUAUGUUAGGAACAGUUGCCUCUGGAAGAUUCCAUUAGCCCAUAGUAGGCCUCUAGGCCUGACCUUGUGGGAGCUGUUGUAUUUUGGGGUGCUCUAAGUACAGAUGAAGGCAUGGGGUCAGCAGGACAAGUCUGUAGAGUGUGGUACACAUCAGUCAUAUUUAAUGCCUGCUGGGAACCUGAGAAAUAUAGAACAGCAAGAGGGCUUGGCAUAGACCAAGAAUCAUAUAGUACUUACAGAAGUUAAAAAGGAAACAAUUUUGAACAAAUGGAAAUCAGAGACACAGGAGGACCCUCAUAGAGUAAAUUGGGUAGGACUUAGCACAAAGGUACCUGGGUUGUGCCUGCAACUUGUUCUCUGGAUGCUCUAACUGUGCUUCAUUUCUCAAAAGAGACAAGGUGUUCUGCCUCAGGUGAGAUUUCUUUCUUGAUGGAGAGCAGCAACACAUUUCAUCAGGACAUUUUUUUAUUUCUUGUUCCAUCCUUAAAGCCUUUUGGAUGGCCACUACUGGGGACAGUGUUGCCCUCUCCUUAGGCACAGAGGAAUAAUAGGUUGUCUUCUGUGUUCUCAUUGCUGCUUCUUUUCACCCUAAGGCUGCUUGUUGACUGAAGGCAGAAGACACCCUGGCAUAUAUGUUUUGUCCAGUGCAGAUGUCCUCUGGAGUGGCCUGAAGAGAAGGCCAGUCUCAGUGGUUCUUCUGAAUCCUCUAUGACUAGUAUUAUGGACAUAGGCAUAAACAAGGUUAUGGGAGAUGACAAGUCCAACGUGGCAAUGGUGGGUUGGUUUCCACUUCUCUGCAGUCCAGGCCUAGUGCGGAAGUAGCAUACUCAUCAAGGGUAGGGAAUGGAGCCAUAACUGGAGUAACUGUCUGAGGCUGGUUGUGAAGCCAGGCACCUGGAUAGCCUGUCCUUACAGUAAUCAGUUGAAUGCCAUGAUCUGCUUAGACUUUCUUUGAUAUAAAGGAACAUUAUGUCUUGUGUUUUGAAUGGAACAUAUUGCAUUACUUCCAAAAUUCCAGGGUGUGGCUUGAGAGGUAUCAUUUCCUCAUAGGGAUUUGGGAAAUGCUCCCAUUCUUCUUUGAAGCAGGGGUGCAUUAUCAUGUCUAUGAUGGAUAUAUCUGGGUUUGACUGUCAUUAAGUUGCUAAGCAGGUCAUCUAGCUCUCUUGACACCCAACAGUGGUCAAGAUACACACCUGCCACAUGUCUUCUCAACUCGUGUAUGAAAAUAGAGGCAACAUUUCCAACUACCUUAAAAUGUAAGACUCUAGCAUUCAUAUGUGGUUCUUUGAACCGUCAUAAAUUUAUCCUAGGAAGAGUUCAUGGGCAUCAAAAGUGUUAGCACCAUUGUACAGGUUCAUCAUUUGCUCUGAUUGUCUUGGGUACUAAGGUCAAAGUCAAUGAUUUUGGCUUUUUGUUUCUUAUCCAACAUAUUAUUUGUUUGUCCUGUGAUUAUUCUGUGCCCCUGAGAGUAGAUCCAGGCUGUUAAUAUUUGCAUAAACUUUGCCAGGCCUUGUCCUUCACUAUGUAGCUAUACUUUGAGAUACAUUUGUAAAGAUGUUGAACCUCACCCAGCUCCAUGACAAGGUAUCCACUUGUUUUGGUCUCAAUUACUUCUGGAUGAUGUUGGGGUAGAUAAACACAAUUGUUGUCAUUGCCAUGGUCAUUACUGGAUGGCAUAAGUGCUUCUUCCUCACAAGGACUUGGAGGCCACUGUAUCAGAACAUCCACUGUCUUAGCACCUGCUUUUUCCCAACACAUCCACUGUACUGUCUGUCCAAGCCUAUGUUUUGUUGCCUUGCCCCUGAACUUCCUGCCAUUGCAGAAGGAAGUAGGAUGACAUGGUCUGGUUAGUAUAUUAUCUGGUUGAAGUGUCCUUAGUUUCUAGGGCUUAGAACCCAAUGUAUUCCAUUGCUUUUUCACAUUAGCAGGGUCUGGCCUGAGGGGGAUCAGUUGCUCAUAGGGAUUUGGGAACUGCUUCUAGUCUUAGUUGAACUAGGGUUGCAUCAUGACCACAAUGACUGUUGGCCUAUAUUUAUGGUUGACUAUCUUUAAGAGGCUAAGUAGGUCCUCCAGCUCUUCUGACACCCCACCAGAGGCAGCAUAUACCUCUAUUACAGCCUGUCUUCUCAGCUCCAAAAUUAAGAGAGAAUCAAAUGGAAACUUUCUGACUGCCAAAAAUUAUAAAAUUCCACCCAAGGUCCAUAUUUUGUUCUUUGGAACAUAAUAAAAUUUUUCAAAUAAGAGUUCAGGGACACCAAAAGUAUAAGUAUCGCAGUGCUGGUUCAGCAUUUCCCCUGGGUAGAAUGAGGUACUAGGCCAAAGUUCAUAAUCUUGACUUUUCAAUUGAUAUACAAACCAGCACUCUUUGGCUUCACGUCCCUGUGAAGUAUUGUUUGCCCGUAGAAGUGGCUCAUCACAGCUAUUAUUUGCACAAUAUUUCCCUAGCCUUGACUUGCUCUAGGUAGGCAUAUUUUGGCACACAGUAAGCAAGAUGAUCUCCUGGUUUGAUUAUGCAUUGUAAUAUCUUAGACUCAGAAUCCAUUAUGGUGCAGUUCUUCCACAAAUGCAGGGUCUAGCCUGACAGAGCUCAGUCCUUCAUAGAGAUUUGGGAAAGACUUUCAGUCUUCCUUUAACCAGGGGUACAUCAUCCCAUCUGUGACUGUCAACCUAUAUUUCAUGUUGACUAUCAUUAGGAGGCUAAGAGGUCCUCCAUCUCUUCUGACACCCCGCAGGGGUUAGGAUACAUACAUGCCACAAUGGUCUUCUCAAUUGUAGUAUGAAUACAGAGUAAGAUCUGACUUUUUUAACUACCAUGAAAUGUAAAACUCAGGUCCAUUUGUCAUUCUGUGGACUAUCAUAAAGUUGCUGAGGAAGAGUUCAGGAGCUCCAAAAGAGAAAGCACCACAGUGCCACUUCAGCAUUGCCCUGGUUCAACUAGGGUUCUAAGGCAAAAGUCUAUGAUUUUGACUUCUCCAUUUAUGUCCAAUGGUAAACUUAUCAGGUUUCUCUUCCCUGUGCACUAUACCCUGGUCAUUUCAUUAGCUCACAGUUAUGAUUAUUUGCCUAAAUAUUUCCCUGCCUUUGUCCUCCCCUAGGUGGCCCCAUUUUCAGGUGCUUUGGUAAAGCUGUUGUCCUUCAACAAGUUCUUACUUGCAGAAGUGAGAUGCUGUUCAGGUGGUCGACCAUCAUUGUCUCUGCCUUGGUCAUGAGUGUCAGGCACCAUUGCUUCUUUAGAAGCGGUUCGAUUGCUCUGGGGCUGCCACUGAGUCGAAGGCGUUGCUCCUGUGUCCCAUGGUCCUUAAGACUUUGUAUUGAGAGUGGAAUUUUCCCUCAUCAGAAAUUCUGCUGAGGGCUAGGGUGUGGGGUCUGCUCUUUACUAUGUGUAAGCAUUGUAGCUAAAGAUACUACAAAUAUAACCUACAAAUAACUUAAAAGUAUAGAAUAAAAAUAGUGGAAAAGAUGUAGGGAAACUGAAGCUAAAUUCACAGCAUGUGUUUACUAAAAUGACCAAAAUGUCUUUGGGAUUGCAAUUUAUUCUUUUAUUUGUUUUUGUUUUACUUUUUGUUUUUGUUUUUUUCUUUGUUUUUUGGCUCUCUCAAGAGGGCAACCCUGUAGUGCAAUAGAUCACAUAUUCAGAUGAUGUCAGGUGAAAUAGUCAUUGGCCACAUAAAGGCUAAAGCCUGUGUUUGGGCAAUGGAAGGAAAGACACAGCAGAACUUUUUGGGGAAUGGAGAGAAAGAAGAAUAGAGGCGGAAGAUUCGGGCAAGAAGAAGAUGGGGGAGAAAGAGGUUGAAAAUGGAGCAGGCACACGUGGCUUGCAGGAGCCACAAGUAGGUAGAGAUUUUAUAAAUGGGCAAUAGAGUAGUGUAGUGGUACAUUUGUCUAAUCUAAGGACUCAGCUUAUAAUUAUAUAAUUGAGUUUUCUGUUCUUGCAUGGGCCUUUUGGCGUUGGAGAUUUACCCCUAUAAAUCUGGCUAGUAUAAGCCUCUUGGGUUUUCAUUACAAAAGACUAAGACAAAUCCUGUGAGAGGAGCAUUGGCCAGCCUUCUGCAGGUCAGGGAGAUGGGGUGGAUGAGAUAAGAAACGCAAGCAGCAGUCCAGGCAUUUCAGAUUAAAGUUGUUUGGUUAGAGUAGCAAACUAGGAGCAGGAACCAGGCAAGAUGGCAGCAUAGAGCUGGCCAUGUGGGUUGAGCGUUACCACUGAUACCAGAGCAUAGCAGGAAUUUGCAUUCCUGUGUUCUCAUUGCUGUUGUGUUCUCUCUGAGGAUGAUUAUUGAGUGAAUUCAGGCGACACUGCUGGCGUGGAUGUAUGUUUGUCCAGUGUGGGUGUAAUCUGGUGUGGCCUGAAGAAACAAAGGGCAGCCCCAGUGACUCUUCUGCCUACUUUUUGACCAGAUUGUGGUCAAAGGAAGUCACUAGACCAUUGGAUGAUGAUGAGGCCUGUGCAUAUAGGGCGGGGUAGCUACCACUCCUCUACAGCCCAACAGGAAUGCAUCAUCAUCAUCAAGGGGAGGGAAUAACUGGACUCAAUGUGUGAGCCUCCAUUGUUCAGCCUUGCACCUGGAGAACUUGCCUGUACAGUAAGCCACAUGAUCCCACGGUUUGAUUAUAUGUUGUGAUAUCUUAGGCUCUGUACCCAGUAUGUUCUAUUUCUUCCACAAUUGCAGGGUCUACCUGACAGAGCUCAGUCCUUUGUAGGGAUUUGGGAAAGCCUUUCAAUCUUCCUUUAACCAGGGGUACAUCAUCACAUCUGUGACUGUCAACCUAUAUUUCGUGUUGACUAUCAUUAAGAGGCCAAGAGGUCCUACAUUUAUCUCUUCUGACACCCCACAGAGGUUAGGAUACAUACUUGCCACAACCGGUCUUCAAAACUGUAGUAUGAAGACAGAGUAAAAUCUGACUUUUUUAUCUACCAUUAAAUGUAAAACUAUGGUCCAUAUGUCAUUCUGUGGACUAUCAUAAAGUUUUCUGAGGAAGAGUUCAGGAGCUCCAAAAGAGAAAGCACCACAGUGCCAGUUCAGCAUUGCCCUGGUUCCACUUGAGUUCUAAGGCAAAAGUCGAUGAUUUUGACUUUUCCAUUUAUGUCCAACAUAAUCUUAUCUGGUUUCAGUUCACUGUGUACUAUACCGUGCUCAUGGCAUUAGCUCACAGUUGCUAUUAUUUGCCUAAAUAUUUCCUGCCUUUGUCCUCCUCUAGGUGGCCCCAUUUUCAGGUGUUUUGGUAAAGCUGUUGUCCUUCAACAAGCUCUUACUUGGGGAAGUGAGAUGCUGUUCAGGUUGUCGACCAUCAUCAUUGUUUCUGCCUUGGCCAUGUGUGGCCUACACCAAUGCUUCUUUACAAGCAGUUUGAUGGCCAUGGGACUGCUAGGGAGGCGAUGAUGUGAUAUCGGGACCUUGGCAUUGCUCCUUAAGUCCUUAAGACUUUGUACUGAGUGUGGAAGUUUCCCUCUGCUGGGGCCUAGGGUGUGGGAAAUCCUCCUUGCUAUGUGUAAGCAUUGUAGCUAAAAAUACUACAAAUAAUACCUAGAAAUAACUUUAAAAGUGUAGAAUAAAAAUAAUGAAAAAGAUGUUUGGAAACCGAAGCUAUUGUCACUUCAUGUGUUAACUAAAAUGAGCAAAAUGUCUUGUGGAUUACUGUUUGAAUUUUUUCCUCUCAAGAGGGCGGCCCUGUAGUGCAAUAGAUCACAUAUUCAGAUGAUGUCAAGUGAAAUAGUAAUUAGCCAUAUAAAGGCUACAGCCUGUCAUUGGGCAAUGGAAGGAAAAGAUAGAGCAGAAUGUUUUGGCAAAGGGAGAGAAAGAAUAGAGACGGAUGAUGCGGGCAAGAAGAAGAAGAUGGGGGAGAAGAGGUGGGAAAUGGAGCAGGCCCAUGGGCUUGCAGGAGCCACAAGUAGCUAGAGAUUUCAUAAAUGGGCAAUAGAGUAGUGUAGUGGUAGAUUUGUCUAAUCUAAGCACUCAGCUUGUACUUAUAUUAUUGAGUUUUCUGUUCUUUGACUGGGACUUUUGGAGUUUGAGAUUUACCACUAUAAAUCUGGCUAGUAUAAGCUUCUGGGUUUUCAUUUCAAAAGACUAAGGCAAGUCCUGUGAAAGGAGCAUUAUCCAACCUUCUGCAGGUCAGCCAGAGGUGGUGGAUGGGAUGAGAAAUGCAAGCAGUAGUCCAGGCAUUUCAGAUUAAAGUUGUUUGUUUAGAGUAGCAAACUACCAGCAGGAACCAGGACAAGAUGGCUGCAUAGAGCUAGCCAUGUGGGUUCAGCAUAACCACUGAUACCAGAGCAUAGCAGGAAUUUGCAUGGGUUUAAUUUAAAACUUCAUGCAAUAGAUGAUGUUGCGUGUGGUAGUCAACAAUCCACUAGGGAGUUAGGAUUCUUGUCCUAGGGAUGAGAGAAUUAGAUUCCUGAAUGAGCAGAGAUGAGUCAAGUGACUCCAGCACAUGGGAAUCUUAAUCAAACACAGUGAUAGACAGACCCAAAUCAGGCUCUGAGUUCUCCUCUUGUAAAAAGAAUCAGUAUAAUAAAUGGAUCCAGGCAGAGAGGGAGACUGAAGACUGCCUGCUUUUAAUGAAGUUUGGUUUAGUUGUUGCUAAUUUGGUGUAAUUUUGUUUAAAGAUAGAAGAGGACACAAUUUUGGCCAGAGUCACCUGGGGAAUUCCUCCUGAGGUUCAGAGCUAACUCAGGGCAAAUGGGCCCAGAUUAUCUGGGAGCUCGUGCUGUGCAGGGACAAACUGAGCUAACAGAAAAACUACAGCCUCCAAGGCAGACAGCAGAAUUUGGAUAAGGAUGAAAUCCUCUAGGAAAGUCUCAGUGUAUCACAGGAUUCUCCUAUUCUCUCAAAAGAGGGUUAAAUAUCCUGUCUUGGCAGAUUAGAAAAGGCCCGAAAAAACUGUUUCUACUUUGCUUGUUUGGUUUAGUUCCCUCGUAUGAGUAUUUAAUUUUCGAAAUGUAUGUGAUUUUGAAUUUUCUGGUUAUUUUACUAUUCCUCUGGGAAAGAUGUCAACCUAAAAAUCUUUCUGGUUACUGGCUAAAGCGCAUGCUAAUUUGGGAGAAAGACCUUAUGUUUCUGCUUAUAGGAAAAGUAAUUAGGCACUGCACUCCUUCCAGGGUUCUCUGGGUCAGAAAGGGCAGAGGGAACCACCCUGAAGAACUAGAAAGUUCAAGAGAACCAAGCAAGAAAGGUAAAGAUUCCUUAUGCCAUUGUUCACAAUGCAUGAACGAAGACUUAUGAUUAGUUAUUAUUAAAUUUGGCUCAUAAAAAGACUAUCUUUUCACAUGCUUAAACAAAGAGCAGAAUUUCAUCUUGAGUAGUCAAGGUAUUUUAUGUUAAACUGGUUCCCAAUUGGCUUAGCAAUCAAGCCUCAGGAUGCAGGGUAACAAGUGCAUAGAAGUAGCCAUAGGGACUGGGUGAAACUCUGAUGCCUGUGUUUAGCCAGACUUAGUGUGGGGUUAUUUUAAAAUUACAUGUAACAAAAAGUGCUUGAAAUAAACUAAAGUCAAAGUUAGGAAAAUAGAAUACAAAUUAUGGAAAAGAUAUCAGGGAAAAAGCUAAAGUCAAAAAUCCCAACUAAAAUCCAAACAAAUAACCCACCUUGUAUUCUGUUCAGAAAAGUCACGAAGCUCUCUAGAAGGAGACAAGACAGGAUGCAGCUGUUGGGCUAUCUCAGGCAAACUCUGCACCGGAGCACCUGUUCAAAGAGAUUAGAAUAUCAUUAUUGUAUCAUGGAUGUUUACUGGGAGAAUGGAAUGAUUUAACAGCUGAGUUGUGGAAUUCUAUAGAUCUAUAAAAUAACCUCUGCAGUGGAUAAUAUAAAGUUAUGAAAUAUCUUCCAGCUUCAUUAAUCAGAACUAUAAAAUUUCAAUCUAGCCCAUGGAUGCUGAUGGUAACUGUCGCUUCUGUUUCCGACCCGCAGAAAAGAGCGACUACACAGCGUUCUUCUCAAAGCGGUUUAUUCAGGAACCUUACAACAUGCAAACAGGAAUCUUCUUUUCUUCUGUCUCCCUCCCAGCCCAGCCCCCGGAGCACACUCCCUUAUACCCUCCCUCAACUCCGCCUCCUCAGUCCAGACUGCGUAAUCUCAGUUCAUAGGUCCACGUCACAUGGCCUGAUCUUGCAUCAUGGUGCGCCUGCACAGCUCUCACAAUGGACGUGGCUAGUUUCAGGUGUGUGAGGAAGUCAGAUGCUAGUCACGAGACUUAGCUGCAGUCCCAGGCGCCAUCUUGGGACUACCGCCACACCCGCUCCCCACAGGUAACUGUGAUUUCAAGGUCAUUUCCAAUCAUCUAUGUUAAGUGUUUUGACUCAAGGAAACUGGCAUUGCCAUAGAUGAAAUCAGUUAAAGGCAUAUUUAUUUCUUCUUUGCCACAUAACUAGACAAAUGUCAGUUCAAAAGUUGCGAUUAUUGAGUGUACUUUUUUCAUCUCAGUUACUUUAUGUAUUUUUCAUUUAUUUAAAUUUCCAUACAUGUAUACAGUAAAAUAUGGUCAUAUCCACCCUAACAUCUGUCCUCCAACUUCUAAAAGAUCCCUCUCAGAAUUCCCCGUUUGACUUUACAGCCCUGGUUGGUCUGGGACUUGCUGUGUAAAUCAGAUUAGCCUAGAACUCACAGAGGUCCACCUGAAUCUGAUCCUGGGCUUAAAAGUCAGCACCACUAAACCAUUCCUCUGUGUGUGUGUGUGUGUGUGUGUGUGUGUGUGUGUGUGUGUGUGUGUGUGUGUACGGAAAUAUACAUACACACAUUUUUUGUAUCCCAGUAAGCCCUAUUAGUGCUAGUCAUACAUGCAUACUGUGUGUACAGACAUUCACUGCAUUAUCAGAGUCCUACCAGUCGCUUGUCCCCAAGGAAGAGUGAAUUUCUAUCAGCUGUUGUUAACUGCAGCUCCUCAUUUGAUGCAUGGGCUUAUAAGUUCUUCUCCCACCCAUGCACGAUGUGCAAACAAAUGACACAGCCACCUCUGUCACUUUACUCGGUUAACAUAUACUAAUAAAAUGUUAUGGUAUUUUCAAAUUUAUAUGUAUAUGUAUUGUAUAUGUAUAAUGACACAUUGUAUAUACUUGUAAUGGCUAUUCUUGGUUGUGAACUUGACUAUAUGUGGAAUGAACUUCAAUCCAGAAUUGGAAAGCUCACCUUUGAUCCUGAUUUGAGGCUGGGAGACACAAAUUUCUGAACUGAAUCUUGGCAUGGAGAUCAUGAGGCAAAGUGGCUAUGAAUCUCAGGAGUUUAAGACAAGGAGAUCUCUGAGUUCAAGGUCACCUAGGACAAAGCAAGUCCCAGUUCCAGCUGUGGUGGUACACACCUUUAAUCUGGGACAUACCUUCUGCUGGAGAUUUAUAUAAGGACAUUGGAAGAAGGAAGAGUCUCUCUUUCGUCUGCCUGCCUGAUUUGUAGGACUGAGCCACUGCUAGAUCCUUGGACUCCUAUUCAUACCUGCUGCUGAUCAUUGUUGGGGAGUUGGACUAUAGACUGCAAGUCAUCAACCAAUUGUCUUACUGUACAGAGAUUUCCCAUAAGAUCUGUGUCUCUAAAGAACCCUGUAUGAGACAAUUCUCUUUUAUAAUAUAUAAUUUCUAUUGAUAGAUAAUGUAAUUUAUUAUUUUAUUCAUAAUAUUAUUAUAUUCAUCCCUAUGUUUAUAUGUAAACAAAACACAGGUUGUAUGCCUAUGAAACAGUAACACACUGCAUACUUGAUGACUGCUGUCUUUUCCCUACUCCCUACUGCAGGGGAGAAAAUGGACCAUUCUCAUCAAUGAAAAAGGUUGGACAACUAGGUGCCCAUGACCAACUCCUCAUUGUGGAUGGAUUUAGUCUGGUUGGACUUUCUCAGGAAAGGGCAGCAGAACUCAUGACUAGUACCAGUCCCAUGGUUACCCUGGAAGUUGCAAAUCAAGGCAUCCUCUCUCACUGCCUGUCCACCUUUCUUACCCAGCCAUUGUCCUCCAUGGUGCAGAGAGUUAAGAGCUAGUGACUCAAGCCAGGCUGGUCAAAGAAUGUAUAUAAAAGAUCACCCUAUUAUACAAGAGCAGUUAUUAAAUAUAAGAAUUUUAGAUGCAUCCUUUGAAGCUCUUCAUCUUGGAAAGAACGAGGGAGAGAGAAUGAGUGAAUUGGCUUUGGUUUCAGUUUCAGAUCGUUAUGGCUCAGAACUUCAGGAAGAGUUUUACCAACUUGAGCUGCAUUGAGUAGUGGCCAGCAUGGAUCUCUAGUGUGACAAUGAUAUGUGGAUCCAGAGCUCCUCAGUGGACUCUAUGACAUCCAGCCAGGAGCACCUGAAAUAUUCCUCCAAGUCAGUUACCCCUGCUUCCAGUCUACCAAGAGUGGUCCUGGCCAUUGGAAAACCCCAGCAGAGGUGCUGCCCACCCCUGUGACUGUCUCCCAGCCCAUAUGAACAGACCUCCCUCCACCACCUCCUCCACCACAUGUCCACCUACACCAGUGGUUUUGAUGGCAUUUCAGUGGCUUUGCCCCUCCCACCACCUUCUGCAAACAAGGCAGGAUCCCAGUCUGCUCAGGUGGCUGCUGGCUAGCAAAAAAGAAGGAGGAGCAGCAGUGGUGGUCUGAGAUAUAGAAGGCCUGCCUGGAUAAGGAAGCAGAGAGGAAGCACGGGGAGCAGGAGUAGAAUCUGGGGCAGAUGGACUCUCAUUCCCUGAUCCCUGCUUCCUUAUCUCUUUUGGCCACACCAGCCCAACCAGGAAAACCUUCCACACUGCAGAGGCCCCAAGAAACAGUUACUCUGAAGCUGUAGUCCCCAGCAGCAGCCCCAACUAUUGAGUACAGGAACCUGCAGUAGAAAACUAUCAGUAAAGAGGAGUUGUCCUGUGGGGAUAGUCUGUCUCCAGACCCAUGGAAACAAGAUACCAGGGAGAAGCUGGAGAAGCAACAGCAAAUGCACCUUGUGGACAUGCUAAGCAAGGAGAUCCAUGAGCUGUAAACUAAGGGGGACGGUAGUGCAGAGGAGAGUGACUGCCUGUGGAAGCUUAUGCUGGAGUGGCUGUUUUGGAAGAGACUUCAGGCUAUAUUUCUUGUGUUUCUCCCAGGUUCAUUUCUUGAACCUGUUCUUGAAAACUGUUCAAGCAGCCCAACAUUUGACAUUUUCAAAGUAGAAAUUCAUAACAACUAUGUUUUUGACAUUCUGGCCUUAGAUAAUUCUACAGUGAUGUCUAUGGUUAAGUGCCAGGCAGUGAGAACCCAGGAGUGACGAUCAGAGGUACACAGGAUGACCUGCAGGUGAGGUGCUCCUGGAGCCCAGUGUCCUGAGUGCAGGUCCUCAACCUUACAGCUGCCCACUCCAGCUGUGCCUGGGAUGGAGCCAGUGCUACCAACCUAGGAAGCAGCUCAGGGACUGUGCUUACUAUGUUCCCCAUUGGUUCAGUUCAUGACAAGGUUAAUCUGAAGUAACAGCAGGAAUUUUAGCCCGCUGGAAUUCUGUAUCUGAGAAAGUACAUGUCUUUAGGAACAUCAAGAUGCUCACGUCUAACACGUUUCAGCUUUAUAUGUCACAGAUACCAUAAUAAAGCUGUUUAUAACCUUUUUCUGUUUGGGGUAGCUCAAGGGUAGAAUGUCCUGACCCUGAGUAUUAUAUCUAAUUACCCAGAGAGAGAGAGAGACAGGAAGGAAGGGAGGGGGAGAGGGAGGGACAGAGAGAGGGAGGGAGAGAGAGAGAACAAGAGAGAGGGAGAGAGAGAGAGAGAGAGAGAGAGAGAGAGAGAGAGAGAGAGAGAGGAACAAAAAGUUUGUAAAAAUAAGCAAAACUUAAAAAUAUAUAAAUAACUGUAUAAUUAUUAAAAGUCUAUAUGAGAGUCAAUGUUUAUCACCCAAAAUUGAGGAAGGGGCUUGGAGAAACGAAUUAUCCGCAUCCAACCUCCAAAAACACACACACUCAAUCAACAACACGUCUGAUUAUACCUGGAAAUACCCAUAUUUUAUAGAAUGCCAUAAUGGAAAGUGAGAAGCAUCAUUUUCGAUAAGGGUUGCCAAUAUGUUCUUUUUCCAAGGUGUGUGCAGCCGUGCCAGUCUUCCUCACCACGGGAUGGAAGAGGUCCCUGACCUGUGAGCCUAGAGGUGACCAGGGGAUCUUUGCUCCAUUCUGAGACUGAGAGGCAGGAUGCCCACUCAAGGGUCCAUAGCAGGGAAGGUUUUCAAGCUAUGUGCAGUGCUGGAAAAGCCUACACAAGGCAUACAGUUAGCAGUGAUGUGUUUGCAGGGAGUCCAAGGAACCAGCUUUUUACUGAUGCAGGUGGGCAAGCAUUUAUCAUCCACCUGCCACUCUGACAGCAAUAAGAGUAUUGCUUAAGUUUUGUUUCAUAGAUUUGAUCACUGAAAAAAUACCAAAAAUUGGACCCUUAACGUUGUAGCAAAUAGAAUAGUGGAUGCUAAGACAGGGACCUUUGACUCUUCUAACACCAUUGUCUAUUUCAGAGCAAGAAAGGAAAGGUAUCAAUGGACAACAGUCUGCUUCCCCCAUGAGUGCUCUACCACUGAGUUAGUAGCCUUAGCCCUCCUCACCUUUAGAUAAAGGGUGUCACUAAGUUGUCCAAGCAGACCUGAAACUCAUGCUGUAGACCAGGCUAGCUUUGAACUUCUGAUCCCCCUACCUACUGUGUGUCUUGAGUGUCUGGGAUUACAGGCCCAUUUCUCUACAGCUGAGCAGCUUGCUUGUUUGCUUCCUCCUUUCUUUACUCCUCCUCCUCUACCUCUUCCUCCUCCUCCUCCUGCUCCUCCUCCUCCUCCCUCUCUCUUUCUGUCUCUUUCAUUCUUUCUUUCCUUUCAUUCAUUCUUUCUUUCAUUCUUUAUCUUUCUUUUCUUCUUUCUUUCAUUCAUUUGUUCCUUUCUUUUAAGAUUCAUUUACUUUAGUGCUCUAUCUGCAUGUAUAUCUGUGUGUCCAAAGAGGGCAUCAGAUCUAAUAAUACAUAGUUAGUAUCUAUGAUAUGGUGACUGGAAUCGAACUCAAGACCUUUGAAAGAGCAGCCAUGCUCUUAACCACUGAGCCUGCUCUCCAGCCCCAGCCUAUUUUCUUAAACUUACCACACUUGGUUCACAUGAGAAUUGUCUGUAAGAUGAGUAAGGUAAGGUUACCCUGAGCGCAGAGUGCUUAUCCCUUGUCAGAUCAUCCAGGGGGUUACCUCUGACUCAUGCUGUCCUUUUCCAGGUCUGUCACCAGUGCCCUGGAGUUUGUGGGCCUCAUCCACAGAGGUAUGCAACUCAGAGAACAUGGCCCCUAAGGCUACACCCACAUUGUAAAAGCCAGCGAUGUCAAUCACAGCAGGUUAGAUGUCAGCCAACAGAGUCAUGCAGUUUGACCACAUGAGACUCACCCUAGG